AAUCGAAUGAGACCUUGGAGGACUGAAGUGGAGAAGGGUUUCGUGUGAACAGUGGUUGAUCACGAGUUAGUCGGUCCUAAGUUCAAGGCGAAAGCCGAAAAUUUUCAAGUUAUAAUGAAAAAAAUAUAUGUUAAAGUAUAUUUAAUAAUUAAACACUUGAUUUUUUUUGAACGAAAGGGAAUACGGUUCCAAUUCCGUAACCUGUUGAGUAUCCGUUUGUUAUUAAAAAUGGGCCUUGUGCUCAUCCUGGCAACAGGAACGACCAUAAAGAAGCCGUCGAGAGAUAUCGGAAGAGUUUUCUUUUCUGUUUUAUAGUCGUACUACCAUGGAAGUCUUUCGAAGAGAGAUAUGGUAGAUGGACUAGAAGAGCAUGACAUUUACUGUUGUGUCGAUAUUUUCUCCUCGGACCUUGAAAAUUUAUGGUGGGGUCACGCAAACUUCUCAACAGGCCGUACCGAUAUCCGCAGCUGGUCUCCAAGGUGAAGAGUCUCUAGUCGAUAGAAUAAUGUAGGUAAGGGAAGUCGGCAAAUUAGAUCCGUAACUUCGGGAUAAGGAUUGGCUCUGAAGAUUGAGAUAGUCGGGCUUGAUUGGGAAGCAAUAACAUGGUUUAUGUACUCGUUCUGGGUAAAUAGAGAUUUUCGGAUCUCGUUCCCCGGAUAGUAGCUACGUAGCCAAUUGUGGAACUUUCUUGCUAAAAUUUUUAAGGAGUUAUCGCAAGAUAUAUUCUUUUUAAAUUAUAACGAUUAUCAAUUAACAAUCAAUUCAGAACUGGCACGGACUUGGGGAAUCCGACUGUCUAAUUAAAACAAAGCAUUGUGAUGGCCCUAACGGGUGUUGACACAAUGUGAUUUCUGCCCAGUGCUCUGAAUGUCAAAGUGAAGAAAUUCAAGUAAGCGCGGGUAAACGGCGGGAGUAACUAUGACUCUCUUAAGGUAGCCAAAUGCCUCGUCAUCUAAUUACUGACGCGCAUGAAUGG
rnacentral:rRNA from 1 species